GACGAACGCUGGCGGCGUGCUUAACACAUGCAAGUCGAACGGAAAGGCCCAGAUUUUGUGGUGUGCUCGAGUGUCGAACGGGUGAGUAACAAGUGAGUAACCUGCCCUUGACUUUGGGAUAACUUCAGGAAACUGGGGCCAAUACCGGAUAGGAGCUCCUGCUGCAUGGUGUGGGUUGGCAAGUUUCGGCGGUUGGGGAUGGACUGGCGGCUUAUCAGCUUGUUGGUGGGGUAGUGGCUUACCAAGGCUCUGACGGGUAGCCGGCCUGAGAGGGUGACCGGCCACAUUGGGACUGAGAUACGGCCCAGACUCCUACGGGAGGCAGCAGUGGGGAAUAUUGCACAACGGGCGGAAGCCUGAUGCGGCAACGCCGCGUGCGGGAUAACGGCCUUCGGGCUGUAAACCGCUUUCGCCUGUGACGAAGCGUGAGUGACGGUAAUAGGUAAAGAAGCACCGGCUAACUACGUG
rnacentral:rRNA from 1 species